AGAAAUACAGAAGACACAGUUAUAAAUGUGAUAAAUGGAGGAGAAAGGGAUGGAGUAGUCUCAUUUUACAUAUGCAGAAGUCAAGACGUUCCCUUCGAAGUUGAAGAGGCAUGAAGAUUAGAGAUGUUACUUAAAGACGUAACCAGGAAAAACCCGAAAAGCAGAAGAGAAAAAAAUAGGAGUGCUGCAUUUGAUACAGUUCUUGGGAUAAAUGUUGCAGUCAAGAAACUAAGCCGUCCUUUUCAGAACCAAACUCAUGCAAAGAGAGCUUAUCGUGAACUUGUCCUCUUAAAAUGUGUCAAUCAUAAAAAUAACACGACUUAAAAGUGGCUUCAGAGGAAAACCAAGAAAUACUUGAAAGAAGUGAAAACAAACAGCCACAGGUAUGUAGCAAUUUAAAUUUCUGGUUUACUAUUGGUUGGUUAGUUGGUUUUUCUUUAAUAACAUAGCAUAGUCCAAAUGAAGUGACCUUUUAGACUAUCCUUUUAGAAUCCAACAGAUCGUAAUUUCAUAUUUAAUUUUAAAAUAUUUUAGUCAGUUAUAAAAUUUAAAAUAUUCUUAUAGUCUGUAGUAACUCAUAGCUAUCUGUACCCUUGAACCUGAGGCCAGAAGUUUCCAGAAGUCUCUUUGCUCUUUUAUUUUAUCUUUUAUUUUUAUAACCUUCUUCACGAUAAAGUAAGUAACAUCAAAAAUGGAGUUGUAUUACUAAGCUAGAGAAAUUAUGAACAAUUGGACAGUGAUGGCCACUGAGUUCAGCUCCUGUUAAAGGAGGCAUCAUUCCCAGUGGUUCAAACUUUGCAGUUUUAUGUUGCUGGUCACCAGUGCUGAGGUUAAAAACUUCUUCUGUUUUUUUGGUCUCUGGUUGCCUUCAGUGUCUAUGUUCAGGGAGAGGAUGGGGUCAUACAAUCAACCCAACUGCCUAUUAAGAGAAUUACAACUUCCAGAAUGGGACUUUGGUGUCAGGGUACAAACAAUAACUUUCUUAUUUUAACAUAAAUAGUAAACAUUAUUAAAAUCUUUUAUUCCACUGUCACUAGUGGAACUUAGAAUAUAUUAGAACUGAAUAUAAGAAAUAAUCUAUCCAGAUAACACUCAUAGCAUUUGAAGUAGAAUCUAAAAAUUCUCUUUCUGAUUGGUGUUCAUUUUGGCUUCUAAUAAUUUAGCAUUUGCCUACUCUCCGGUUAAUCUUCAGAAAUAUGAAUUUACUGUAGGGGUUCACUAUUUAUGGUAUGCUGAGGUCAAAAUCCUUUUAAGAGAGAAACUUUUGGAAUACUACAUAUCAUCUGUGAACCCAUUUCUGGCAGAUUUAAUUCAUAAUGAAUUAAGUUUAGUCCAAACUAACAGUGAGAGUUAAGCUUGCUGGUUCAUGUUUUUCUCCUAUGUUAAGCCAAGGCAAAUUAUUUUUUACUUCUUAGUUAUAAUCCAGUAACUUAGGGGUGGCAAAACACAGAUUAAGUUUUACAGUUAAAUUUUAAUUAUGUUCUAUUUUUUGUUCAUA